CCUACGGGAGGCAGCAGUAGGGAAUCUUCCACAAUGGACGAAAGUCUGAUGGAGCAACGCCGCGUGAGUGAAGAAGGGUUUCGGCUCGUAAAGCUCUGUUGGUAGUGACGAAAGAUAGAGGUAGUAACUGGCCUUUAUUUGACGGUAAUUACUUAGAAAGUCACGGCUAACUACGUUCCAGCAGCCGCGGUAAUACGUAGGUGGUAAGCGUUGUCCGGGUUUAUUUGGUGUAAAACGAGUGCAGGCGUGUCAAUAAGUCUGGUGUGAAAGCCUUCGGCUCAACCGGAGCAUUGCAUCAGAAAGUGUUGAACUUGAGUGCAGAAGAGGAGAGUGGAACUCCAUGUGUAGCGGUGGAAUGCGGAGAUAUAUGGAAGAACACCAGUGGCGAAGGCGGCUCUCUGGUCUGCAACUGACGCUGAGGCUCGAAAGCAUGGGUAGCGAACAGGAUUAGAUACCCUAGUAGUC
rnacentral:rRNA from 1 species